rnacentral:rRNA from 1 species
UACGUAGGUGGCAAGCGUUGUCCGGAUUUACUGGGCGUAAAGAGCGCGCAGGCGGUCGAUCAAGUCGCGUGUGAAAGCCCCCGGCUCAACUGGGGAGGGUCACGCGAUACUGAUCGACUCGAAGGCAGGAGAGGGUAGUGGAAUUCCCGGUGUAGCGGUGGAAUGCGUAGAGAUCGGGAAGAACAUCGGUGGCGAAGGCGGCCUGC